rnacentral:rRNA from 2 species
UCUGGUGGCGAUAGCGAAGAGGUCACACCCGUUCCCAUACCGAACACGGAAGUUAAGCUCUUCAGCGCCGAUGGUAGUUGGGGGUUUCCCCCUGUGAGAGUAGGACGCCGCCAAGC